rnacentral:rRNA from 1 species
AGGACGAACGCUGGCGGCGUGCUUAACACAUGCAAGUCGAGCGAGGCCCUUUCCUUCGGGAAAGGUGCCCUAGCGGCGAACGGGUGAGUAACACGUGGGCAAUCUGCCCCUAGCACUGGGAUAACUCCGGGAAAACCGGGGCUAAUACCGGAUACGACCUCUGAGGGCAUCCUCCGGAGGUGCAAAGGAUUCUGGCUAGGGAUGAGCCCGCGGCCUAUCAGCUAGUUGGUGGGGUAAUGGCCCACCAAAGGCGACGACGGGUA